rnacentral:rRNA from 1 species
UACGAAGGGGGGCUAGCGUUGCUCGGAAUGACUGGGCGUAAAGGGCGCGUAGGCGGUUCGUACAGUCAGACGUGAAAUUCCCGGGCUCAACCUGGGGGCUGCGUUUGAUACGUGCGGGCUUGAGUUCGGAAGAGGGUCGUGGAAUUCCCAGUGUAGAGGUGAAAUUCGUAGAUAUUGGGAAGAACACCGGUGGCGAAGGCGGCGACCUGGUCCGAU